UGGGUCUUAUGCAAUGGGAGCCUGCGAACCGUGUCAGGUCGGGAACGAAGCAGCACUAAGCGGAAUCUCUCAUGUGUUGUAAGGUCGC
rnacentral:SRP_RNA from 1 species